rnacentral:pre_miRNA from 1 species
UCCCCUCCUGGUGCUGUCAUCCUGCUCAGUGCAUCUGUGUCUCUUCACUAGAUUGUCAGCUCCUCGAGGGGAGGGAC